rnacentral:rRNA from 1 species
UACGAGGGGGGCAAGCGUUGUUCGGAAUUAUUGGGCGUAAAGGGUGCGUAGGCGGUCUGACAAGUCUGAUGUGAAAUCUAUGGGCUCAACCCAUAGUCUGCAUCGGAAACUGUCGGGCUGGAGUAUGGGAGAGGUGAGUGGAAUUCCGCGUGUAGCAGUGAAAUGCGUAGAUAUGCGGAGGAACACCGAUGGCGAAGGCAAUCCCCUGGACCUGUACUGACGCUCAUGCACGAAAGCGUGGGGAGCAAACAGG